UGCCAUUCGCGGAACUCUGAGACACGGUGCUGCAUGGUCUGUCGUCAGACUCGCUGNUUGUGAAAAUUGGUUUAGGGGUUAAAGGUUCCCCGGCCAAACGGAAGGCGGCCAAACCCUUUUUCCUUUUGUUGCCCAUGCGUGAUCCGGCCGUGGUAACUCAUAAAGUGCAGUACUGGCGCAGAUGAUAAACUGGAACGGUAAGGUCGCGCGAGAUGACCGUCAAGUCAUUCAUGGGCGCCUUACGAGUAGGGCUACACACGUGCUACAAUUGGCGCAUACAAAGAGAGAAGCGACCUCGGGCGUAGGAGGCAAGCGGACCUCUAUUAAUAGUUGCGUCGUCAGGUCCGGAUUGGAGUCUGCAACUCGACUCCAUGAAGUCGGAAUCGCUAGUAAUCGUAGAUCAGAAUGCUCACGGUGAAUACGUUCCCGGGGUCUUUGUACAC
rnacentral:rRNA from 1 species